rnacentral:rRNA from 1 species
CGUCGCCGCGGGAAAACGGAGGGUGCAAGCGUUAAUCGGAAUUACUGGGCGUAAAGCGCACGCAGGCGGUUUGUUAAGUCAGAUGUGAAAUCCCCGAGCUUAACUUGGGAACUGCAUUUGAAACUGGCAAGCUAGAGUCUUGUAGAGGGGGGUAGAAUUCCAGGUGUAGCGGUGAAAUGCGUAGAGAUCUGGAGGAAUACCGGUGGCGAAGGCGGCCCCCUGGACAAAGACUGACGCUCAGGUGCGAAAGCGUGGGGAGCAAACAGGAUUAGAUACCCCGGUAGUCCCUGUCUCUUAUACA